rnacentral:rRNA from 1 species
GUAAUGGCGAAUGAACAGGGAUAAGCUCAGGUUGGAAACCGGGGCAUUUGUCCCGGGUUGUGGCCUGCAGGCAAGGUGCUAUCGGCGGCUUGCGCGUAAGACUCUUGGAAUGGAGCGUGCGUCCGGGUGAGAAUCCUGCGUUUCGCGCAAUGUCCGCUGUCCACAGCCCUUGUUCUCAGAGUCACGCUCCUCGGAAUUGGAGCGUAAAUAAGGUGGUAAAUUUCAUCUAAAGCUAAAUAGGGGCUUGAGACCGAUAGCGAACAAGUACCAUGAGGGAAAGAUGAAAAGGACUUUGGAAAGAGAGUUAAAAGUGUUUGAAAUCGCUGAAAGGGAAGCGAAUGGAACCACAGAUCUUGCUGAGAUUGCUGUGGGCCUUUGUGAGCUUUGGGCGUGACAGCGCAAGCGUUACGCUCAUGUGUGAACAACUGCCCGUAGUGUUUCUUAUCUUGCGCGUCACUUGCCACGUCUGUUUGAGGAUGGCCUUCGGCUCACAAGUUGCAUCUGCGGGUGCUUCUUCGGGCUGUUAGGGA